AACGAACGCUGGCGGCAUGCCUAACACAUGCAAGUCGAACGAUACCUUCGGGUCUAGUGGCGCACGGGUGCGUAACGCGUGGGAACCUUCCCUUAGGUUCGGAAUAACUCCCCGAAAGGGGUGCUAAUACCGGAUAAUGUCUUCGGACCAAAGAUUUAUCGCCUUUGGAUGGGCCCGCGUUGGAUUAGCUAGUUGGUAGGGUAAAAGCCUACCAAGGCGACGAUCCAUAGCUGGUCUGAGAGGAUGAUCAGCCACACUGGGACUGAGACACGGCCCAGACUCCUACGGGAGGCAGAAGUGGGGAAUAUUGGACAAUGGGCGAAAGCCUGAUCCAGCAAUGCCGCGUGAGUGAUGAAGGCCUUAGGGUUGUAAAGCUCUUUUAACCGGGAUGAUAAUGACAGUACCGGGAGAAUAAGCUCCGGCUAACUACGUG
rnacentral:rRNA from 1 species